AACUUGCCUUUGUUUUUUUCUUAAACUGUGAAUGCACAGCGUUCUAGAACACAACUACUAACUAGCUCGGCCUGGUACCACGGAUUUGUGCUACGGCACCAGGAGAGCAAAAUCAACACAGAAAAAAGCAAGAAAACUCAGAGAAAAAAUAAAACAAAUCUACAAUGAACACAUCAGUAUGUAUAUUUCUACAAACUUGUGUGAGAAGUUCUGUAAGAUCAAGUCCUAAAAGCAGAAUUGCUGGCUCAAAGGAUGAGAAAAAAAGGAAAUCACUAAGAAGUUAUGAAAUUUUCCUAUGUCAAGCAGUAAAACAGCCAACCAGAAUCUGAACCCAGGUCUUUCUUUAAAAUGUGUGGUGAGAGUGGCAAGCAGUAGGGGAAAAAAAUGAAAGAAAAAAUGCAUGAUGGCUACUACAUCAUUUGCUUGAUGCUAAGUUCC
rnacentral:lncRNA from 1 species